rnacentral:rRNA from 1 species
GACGGAGGGGGCUAGCGUUGUUCGGAAUUACUGGGCGUAAAGAGCGCGUAGGCGGUUUAGUAAGUUGGAAGUGAAAAGCCCCGGGGGCUUAACCUCGGAAUUGCUUUUCAAAAACUGCUAAGCUAGAGUGUAGUAGGGGAUGAUGGAAUUCCUAGUGUAGAGGUGAAAUUCUUAGAUAUUAGGAGGAACACCGGUGGCGAAGGCGGUCAUCUAGGCUACAACUGACGCUGAGGCGCGAAAGCGUGGGGAGCAAACAGG